UACAGAGGUGGCAAGCGUUGUUCGGAAUUACUGGGCGUAAAGGGCGAGUAGGCGGCCUUCUAAGUCAGACGUGAAAUCCCCCGGCUUAACCUGGGAACUGCGUCUGAUACUGGGAGGCUAGAGUAUGGGAGAGGAAGGUAGAAUUCCAGGUGUAGCGGUGAAAUGCGUAGAUAUCUGGAGGAAUACCGGUGGCGAAGGCGGCCUUCUGGACCAUAACUGACGCUGAUCCGCGAAAGCUAGGGGAGCAAA
rnacentral:rRNA from 1 species